GUGAGCGUACUUAUUUAUGUCAUCAUAGUGAUGUUUUUCUCGAUGUAAAGCACUUUGACCUGCCUUGAUGCUGAAAUAUGCUACACAAACAAACUUGAUUGAUUGAUUUGAAGCUCAACAGCACUGAUGAAAGUCACUAGUGACAUUCUCUUGGUCUCGGAUAAUGRAUUUGUGUUUGUUCUCGUCUUGCUCGAUCUAAGUGCUGCUUUUUGCACAGCUGACCACAAUAUUCGCUGAGAAAGGCUUGAGUACAGCACCAGGCUUGUUUAAGUCCAGUCCUUCAGACAGAUUCCACUUUGUUCAUGUCAACGAUAAAUCUGCACAGUCCAGGGUUACAUGUGGAGAACCACAGGGCUCUGUGACUGGAACAAUUCUCUUGGCUAUGAAUGUUUCCUGUUGGUAUAAUUAUUGAACAGCAUAUGAUACAUUUCCAUUGAUAUGCUGAUGAUAUCUAAUCAUAAAAACAGAUUAACUCAAUCAGUUAAGCAGACUGACGGGUGUUUUGACAAUAUAACUAAGUUUUCUCUUUCUUUAAUUUACACAAAAAGAAAUUGCCUCUGAACAAGAGACAAAUAAACUGCUUAGUUCASGACUAUUCACCUACAGAAUACUGCCAAAAUUAGAAAAUAUCCUGUUUGGGAGGGAUGCUGAAAAACUAGUUGAUGCAUUUGAUAUGUCAAGGCUGGACUGCUGCAAUUCUUUAUAGUCAGGAAAAUGAAGCUAAAAGCCUUCAGCUGAUAAAAAAUCCUGCAGCAGGAGUUCUGAUAAAACUUGCAAAUAGAGCUCAUAUUUCCCCAAUCUUAGCUUCCGUUCACUGGUUUCCUGUUAUACUCAGAAUAUCAUAAUUUUUUAUUGAAAGGUAUUUAUCGGCUCCAUUAUUCUCUUUUGAAGACCGGUGUCUUUUAAAAAUGUCUCGACGAGCUUUCAUAUCAAGCACUGUUUUAUUAAAGCAAAGACGUUAAGAGAGUGAAAGGGGCAGUAUUAUGUAAAAUGGACUUUUUUCUAGUUUUGCAUCAUGUCAUACUGUUAUCCUCUCAUCAAAAACAUACGUGGAGUGUUGCCUUGAUGCUUUCAUGCAUGUUUCAGAAAUCCUGUAAUCUCCCAUGGCAACCAUUCAGCCAUGCAAAACACACAAAAUACCGCCCCUUUAACCACUACCAAUAGGAUUKUGACUGCUCAUGGUCUCUUAUCCGAACCCAAUUUCAACAAAAAGCAACGUUCCCUGUAAUUUGUGGUCUAAAAAUGCUUUUGACAAAGCAAUGAGGAGUGAGCAUAUGUUGUGAAUCUAGCUCUAUUGGCUGAAAUUGGUUUAUUUCUGACAUUAUGGCAACUAACUAUCUGACUCUAGUCUCAGUCUCUUCCCAAAAGCAAGGGGAUUUUGGCAUCUUCUCUGUCUGCUCCAAGAACAACACCUUAAGGUUGAAGUGUUAUUAUGCUAAUUGCAYGGGAUCUCCAUCCUUCAGCUGUGAUUUCUACUCAAACGGGACUCACCUGAGAGGGUCAACUGGCCMUUCAUGCCAAGAGUUCACCGACACGCAGCUGCCAACCAGUCCAGUCAACUACACCUGCAUACUGAAAAGAAAGAAGAGAACGGAAAAUAAAACAGUGCURAUAGACCUCAAUGCAACGGAAAUGAAAUACAAACCAAAGAUCUGUUCUGGAACCCCAGGCCUGCAGCUCUACCAGACUCCGACCUUCCUGUGGCCGCUGAUAGUUCUGCCUCAGUGGGGAGUCCUUGAGACAGACAGAUGACAUUUUCUUCACCUGCUUUCAAUGUGGCUGUGUUCUUUAUAUUCCUCAUCUUCAUAUGUUAUCAUACUGGGGAAAGAUUUAACUUCUUCUGGGUGUGGCAGUGGCGCAGGAGUGAAGCAUGUGACCCGUGUACAGACCCAGAGGCCUCAGUCCUCUAUGCGGCUGUCACAGGUUGGGGCGAGCUGUUGACCUUUGCUGAAUGUCUCUCUCCCUCUCUCUCUCUCACACAACCUACUCUCCUGUCCAUUCACUAGAGCCACAAAAAUCCCUUAAAAAGGCAGUAUUAUGUAUUUUCCAGGCACAUAGUGAGAUUAUAUAGCUCAAUCAAGUAACUAUGUUACCUUCAGUUAUAAAAUAAAUUAAUCAAAUAUGACUUAAAAGAACAUUUGCUUCCUAAYUUAAAGCCUUAAAAUUGGAACUCUGUCUCUUUAAAAGCUCCUGCUCUUUCUGAAACAGAUCAGAGUUGAUGGAUUUAAAUACAGAGGAAUUUAAGGAGAAAACGCAUUAGAACCUGCAAAAACUAGAGACUGGUGUAGUUCAUCUCGCCAUAUGAUGACAACCCUCAACCAGAGCUACAAUGGAACGGUUUAGUUGAGUAUUCAUAAGUUAUAAUGCCCUAGUCAAAGUCCAGACCUAAUUUCAGCAUAAAAUAUGUGGCCAGAAUUUAAAUGCACUCCAACCUGACUGUGCCUGAAAUAGCAGAGCACUAAAGACUUAUUGCUGUAAAAAAAU